ensembl:lncRNA
UAUAGCAGUAAUGCACCCCUGUUUAGGUCCCCGCUCCUCCAGGGAGGGCUGUGUACCUUAGGGUGGCUUCCUCUCGGCUGUGAAGUGACAUGGCUCAAAGGUGGCUUUUUCCUCUCCAGAAGGAAUUUCUGCCUCUUCUGCCUCAGUCAGGACUGUCCCUUGUUGUGGGGGUUCUUUUUAUCCAGUUUUCACGUCUCUCUCUUGGGUAAUUUUUCCAAGAAUAGUUGUAACCUGGUUGUGUUCAUGGGAGGAGGUGAGUUCAGAGUCUGCCUAUGCUGCCAUCUUGAUGAGAUCUCUGCUCCUUAACUACUUUAAAAGUUUUUUAACCUGAGGCUCUUUUGAAGCAGAUGUGGCAUGCCUUACUCUUUAAGAAGGAAGAAAUGGAAGAUCAAAGAUGCGAAACACAAAGGACAGAAGUGAUAGAGUUGUGGGGAGAACCCGUGCACUCUGGCCACUGGUCGAGGACUCAAUCCCCUAAACCAUCUUUCCUCUGAAGAAACAGGCAUUUCCUUCAGCCCUGAACUAAAGCUAACACUUUAUUUGACAUCUCUAUGAAAAUACCUGGUUUAACAUUAAUUCACACGUGAUCAGAACUUUUGCAACUAGUUGGAAGGAGAACAAUAGACCUUUUAGAGUUGCCAAUAAUCUGCUGGUUUUAUGAUCAGUACAUUGAUUGCUCUUAUCUUUUUGUUUCACAGCCCUGAGGCAGGGCAGGAGGAAGCAAUUUCUCAGUGUGGUUCUUCAUAGAACUUUUUUGUUUUUCUGGCUCUUUUUUCUUUUUUUAAAAUAAAAGAGACAUUUUAAAGAACGAAAUGGAAAAAAAAUGGUACUGAUAUUAUGUGUGAAUUGCUUUAUUUUUGACUUCUUUACAUGACAUUCCUAAAACAGAUUUCUAAACAUCUGUUUUAAUCAGCAUCUUAAGUUGCUUUUUUGUUUUGUGUGACAAUUUUGUUCCCUAUUGUUUAUUUGUGGGUUUUUUUAAUAGAUUUAAUAGAUUUGACAUAUAACAUGGUGUCAAUUUAAGGUGUCUAACAUGUUACUUUGAUAUAUUUACAUAUUAUAAUGUGACUGCCUGUUGCCUAUUGCUAAUCCAGGGCCUGUGAAUGUGCUAAUCCCCAAAUUUUAGGAGCUGUGACUAACUACAGAAUAAUUGGAUUUGGAUAUCUGGGGAAUCAAGUUUCGGGAGAAGAGACGAGAGAUAUUUCAUAGUUUCUAUAUCUUGGCUCUGAUCAUAAUCUCUGUCUAUUUUGGCAGAUAAAAUGUAGCUUCUCUCGUCUGUACCAAAAAAUACAUAUUGUUUUAUCAAAAGAGAAAAGAAGGAUUUAAGGGGAGCCAUCAAGAUGUUGGCUUCCAUGUUUUAUGGCAUGAGAAGAAGCAAAUCUGCACUGUGACAGAUAUUAGCUCCUACCUUUGCACACUUGCGUUAGCUCAAUGUCAUCCAGGAUAGUGUGCACAUUUUCACUUAUUGACUUUAGUGAGGGAGUGAAUGCUUCCGCCUCGGGGUGUAUUUCUGUUGGCUCAACAAUCUACUGGAAGUCCCCAAAUACUUUUCUUUUGGAUCACCUUAGUUCUUCUCUGCAAUAACAGACUGGGCAAAGUUCACCAGCCAAGCAAAACACACGUACAGUGAGAAUUAUAAAGUAGUCCACACAUUUGGAGAAUCAGCUCCUACCUUGAUAUAGCUUUGUUGGCCUAUGAAUCUAACCAAGCUGCCGUCAUUGCUACACAGUGAUGUACAUCCUAAUGAAAUCACAUGUUGUUUAAGCCUGCACUUGAUAUAUCCCCUCAAGCCUUCAGUGUAAACAGCAUUUACAAUUAAAAAAAAUAGCCUUUGCUGCAAACGAAAACAAAGAUGUGUUCAUGUAUUUGAACAUUUAUCUCUUGUGUAAAUUUCUAACAUUGCAGAGUAAGAUCAGAGGUAAUCCAGAAGGAAAAGAAUGUGUGGAUGCUUGCAGUGUAGACUGACACCCAGCAUGUGACCUAACGCUAUUUCAUAUCCAGAAGUGGAAAUUGUGAUGAAUGGAAAUUACAUAGUGUUUAUGAAAUACAGGAAACACUAAAUAUCCUUCUCAUUUUUCAUACCAAAACAUCUAUUUAUAAGUACUUGUUAAGAAAUUUAGAAAACAAUAGUAAUUUUGGAGAAGCUGAAAAUUAGAGUAAAUCUGUAGGUGAUUAUUAAAUAUCUAGUAUAAACAGAUACAUUUUUCCCCCUAAAAAUAUCAAAUGCUUGUAAUUACAGUUUAUAAGAAUGAAAGACGUUUUCUUCUCGGCAGAUGAAGGUGCAAGUUUUUGAAUCACUGCAAAAUGUAUAUGCCAAAAAAAAAUUGAAUUUAUUUUAAUUUAAAAAUGUAUAUAUUCAGCUUAUCCAAUGAUGGCCUGGAAACUGGAAGAGAAUAGGGGUGAAAAAUAAGCGAGACAGGUACACAGUUGAAAUGGGCUCAAAUUUUCUGGGGCAAAUAUUUAUUCAUUCUAAGCUUCAGUUUCCUUAACUGAAAAGGAGUGGUGACUCCCCACUGCUAAAACAAGGAUUAAAUGAAAAAAAAUUCUUUUAAACCAUGGGAAGUGCAUAACAGAGUACCUGACACACAGUUAAGCGUUUGUACAUUUUAAUAAUUAUUAUUAUUUUCUAUUUCAGAAUGCUGUUCAAUAACUUGAACAUAUAUUGAUGUUAAUGUAAUGCUUAUUGAAAUUCUGUGUGUUAAAUUUCAUAAAAAUAAUUUCUCAUCUUUUUAAAGAAAAUUCAAGUCAUAGUCUCCCAUUUUGUUUUCUAUCUUAAUUUUUAUUUUAUUACAUGAACGUAACAUGAAUACAUUUUCCAUUUUGGAAGCAUUAAAAUGUGCCUUAUAAGUGACUGCUGUUGGGAGAAAAGCUUAAUAUUGUAGAUUCUAGUUAAAUUUUGGUUUUGUUCACUUGUGUUACAAGAAUACAUUUCCUUUCUUUAAAGCAUUAAAAGAUUGCUUGUUAGUGACAUGUUAGAGGAAACGCUCCGCAUCCUUGAGGAACAAUAGUAAUAGUGACAAUAAAAGCAGCAAUAACAAGAGCAAUCUUGGCCUGUGCUCCUUCUGCUGCCCCUUUUCCAUCUUCACUUCUCCCAAGGAUGAGAAGGAGAAAUUCAUUCCCUAAUUGGUGGGUGAUAGCCAUAGGCCCAUAUUUUUAAGUAAAGUGGAGCC